AUCACAAAAGCUUUACGAGGCCUUACCACCCUGGCAAAUGAAUUAGCCGAAAAUUCUGGAAUAGAUAACCCUUUUAUGGGUCUCAUGGAAAAGUGGUUUGGAAAAUGGAAAGGACUCCUGGCUUCAAUCUUUACCUCUCUUGCAAUUGUUACUUGUGGGCUGUCGCAUCAUACCUUGUAUGGUGGGUUAACUCAAAGGCUCAUAGAAACAGCCCUCCCUAAAGCCCCCCUCGCUUCUCUCCCUUCAUACUCAGACAAGCUCUUUCUCCUAGAUAAUCAAGAACGAAGCCAAAUCCUGUUAAAAAUUUUUGAAGAGGAAGAAGUAUCAAACAGAAGAGAGGAAAUUGUUGGGACAGCUAAGCUCUUCAAAGACUCAACUUCCUGGUCAUAAACUGGUGCUCUUGGGAUUACAAGUAGCGCAGGCGGCACCGUUCUGAAGUAAAGAUGCCUUGCUGGGAAAUCUUCUGCCUCAGUGCUGGUUUUUCUUGACUACACGGAGCACUUGUUUCCAACACCCCUGUGCUCCAGGCUGGGUUAGGUCUGAUCUCGGGGCAUGUCUGUUUCAACACGUGUCUGCAGUUCUUAAGCUUGUGUUGCUCACUGCAGUGGGCCUGGCCUGGUCUGGAGGAGGUGCUCAGUAAGUAUCCGUGAAAUGUGAAUGUGUGGUUCAUUCAGUGAAUAUGGCCCUGGGGCUGGAGAUGGCAGAGGUGUUCUGGGAGCUUCUGGAGAAGGAGACCUGGGAGGAGAAGGUUGGAAUGGCGGAGGCAGCAGAGGGGCUGGGUGAACGCACCUGUCCCACCCAGGCCCAUCCUCUGCAGCCCGAGGAGGAAGCUCACAGGGCAAGGCAUGAAAGAGGUAAGUCCCCUGCCCUGUGCCUGGGCUGUUGAUGGCCUCAGGAAAACGGAACCAUUAUCUGUCGCUGUCAAGUGGCUGGGGGCCAGGACACCUGGGUUGGCCGUGAGGGGACAUUCCUGAGGAGAGUGGAGGCCAGGCUGGGGCAGGGUGUGGCAGGACAGAGAGGAAUGUAGUGGAACCAGUGGGUCAGGCUUCUGAGGGCCCCAGGCUCCAGUCUCAGGGCUGGCCUGUUCCCUCCUAAGCUGCCAUCUUCACAUCUUCAGGACCCACUCCUCUACGCCCCACCCUCAGCACAACGAUGUGAUGUGAUGGAAAGGCAAAUCUUUAUUUUUCAGGAAGAGAAACAGGAGAGCGUGAGGCCUCUGGACUUAGGAGGUCUGGGCGGCCGGUCCACGGUUGUCCAGGUAGUGCCGCAGGGCUGUGGGAUAAUCCGUCAUGACGCCAGUGGCUCCCACGCUGAAGGCUGCUUCAAAAUCCGACUCUUCAUUAAGGCACCAAAAGACCACCUGAGCAGGGAGGGAUCAACUAAGGUCAGGAGCUUGUAGAUUCUGAACAAUUUUACAUCCAGACAGUGGGGACCCACCUCCUCCUCUGUGGAGACUCCCCAGCAGCAGUAGGCUGGAGCUGAUUGUUAAAUUCUCAGGAAUUUUGCAAAGUGGUUAUUAAACCCAGCCAUUAUUAAAAAUUAAAUCAUUGCC